CCCUACUCCUACGGGAGGCAGCAGUAGGGAAUCUUCCACAAUGGACGCAAGUCUGAUGGAGCAACGCCGCGUGAGUGAAGAAGGUUUUCGGAUCGUAAAGCUCUGUUGUUGGUGAAGAAGGAUAGAGGUAGUAACUGGCCUUUAUUGACGGUAAUCACCAGAAAGUCACGGCUAACUACGUGCCAGCAGCCGCGGUAAU
rnacentral:rRNA from 1 species